GGGGAAUAUUGGACAAUGGGGGCAACCCUGAUCCAGCAAUGCCGCGUGAGUGAUGAAGGCCUUCGGGUUGUAAAGCUCUUUUACCCACGACGAUGAUGACGGUAGUGGGAGAAUAAGCCCCGGCUAACUUCGUGCCAGCAGCCGCGGUAAUACGAAGGGGGCUAGCGUUGUUCGGAGUUACUGGGCGUAAAGGGCGCGUAGGCGGCGGACCAAGUCAGAUGUGAAAGCCCUGGGCUCAACCCGGGAUGUGCAUUUGAGACUGGUCCGCUAGAGGAUGGGAGAGGAUAGUGGAAUUCCCAGUGUAGAGGUGAAAUUCGUAGAUAUUGGGAAGAACACCGGUGGCGAAGGCGGCUAUCUGGACCAUUUCUGACGCUGAGGCGCGAAAGCGUGGGGAGCAAACAGGA
rnacentral:rRNA from 1 species